rnacentral:rRNA from 1 species
AGUGAACGCUGGCGGUAGGCCUAACACAUUCAAGUCGAACGGCAGCACAGUAAGAGCUUGCUCUUACGUGUGUCGAGUGGCGUACGGGUGAGGAAUACAUCGGAAUCUACUUUUUCGUGGGGGAUAACGUAGGGAAACUUACGCUAAUACCGCAUACGACCUACGGGUGAAAGCAGGGGAUCUUCGGACCUUGCGCGAUUGAAUGAGCCGAUGUCGGAUUAGCUAGUUGGCGGGGUAAAGGCCCACCAAGGCGACGAUCCGUAGCUGGUCUGAGAGGAUGAUCAGCCACACUGGAACUGAGACACGGUCCAGACUCCUACGGGAGGCAGCAGUGGGGAAUAUUGGACAAUGGGCGCAAGCCUGAUCCAGCCAUACCGCGUGGGUGAAGAAGGCGUUCGGGUUGGAAAGCACUUUUGUUGGGAAAGAAAAGCAGAAGGUUAAUACCCCGCUGUUAUGACGGUACCCAAAGAAUAAGCACCGGCUAAAUUCGUG